rnacentral:rRNA from 1 species
AUUGAACGCUGGCGGCAGGCCUAACACAUGUAAGUCGAACGAGUGGCGGACGGGUGAGUAAUGUCUGGGAAACUGCCUGAUGGAGGGGGAUAACUACUGGAAACGGUAGCUAAUACCGCAUACCAUCGGAUGUGCCCAGAUGGGAUUAGCUAGUAGGUGGGGUAACGGCUCACCUAGGCGACGAUCCCUAGCUGGUCUGAGAGGAUGACCGGCAACACGGGAACUGGGACACGGUCCAGACUCUUACGGGAGGCAGCAGUGGGGAAUAUUGCACAAUGGGCGAAAGCCUGCGGCAGCCAUGCCGCGUGUAUGAAGAAGGCCUUCGGGUUGUAAAGUACUUUCAGCGGGGAGGCGUUACCCGCAGAGGAAGCACCGGCUAACUCCGUGCCAGCAGCCGCGGUAAUAC